CAGAUGUGUAUAAGAGACAGGUGAGUCAUCGAAUCUUUGAACGCACAUUGCGCCCUCUGGUAUUCCGGGGGGCAUGCCUGUUCGAGCGUCAUUACAACCCUCAAGCUCUGCUUGGUAUUGGGCCCCACCGGUUCCGGCGGGCCUUAAAAUCAGUGGCGGCGCCAUUCGGCUUCAAGCGUAGUAAUUCUUCUCGCUUCGGAGACCCGGGUGCGUGCUUGCCAGCAACCCCCAAUUUUUUCAGGUUGACCUCGGAUCAGGUAGGGAUACCCGCUGAACUUAAGCAUAUCAAUAAGCGGAGGA
rnacentral:misc_RNA from 1 species